CCCCUCUGCACACGCGGCUGGGUGGCAGCCAGCGGCCUCGGACAGACCCGCUGGCGUCUCUCUGCUGAGUGACCGUAAGUUCGGCGGCUGACCAUCUGCCUGCCUCUCCCUGAGCGUGGCUGACAGUCACGCAGCCGCGUCGCGCAUCCCUGCCGAGGCCGCCUGGUACCCGCCUCCCGUCCCCUUCCUCUUUCUACUGCUCUGUGGGACACCUGCUUGGAGGCCCAGCUGCCCGUCAUCGGAGCGACAGGUCUUAUGACAGCCUGAUUGGUGACUCGGGCUGGGUGUGGAUUCUCACCCCCGGCCCCUGCCUUCUUUCUCAGACCCUCAUCUGUCACCCCUACGCUGAACCCAGCUGCCUCCCCCAGAAGUCCAUCAGAUUGCCCCCAGCACACGGAAUGGACUUGUGAGAAGGAAGCUGAAACAGAAGGUUCUGUGUUUUACCAUCUUGAUUCCACCCAAUCCUUCAAAACAAGGGCUGGUGUGCCCAUUUCACAGAUGAGCAAAUGAGGCUGCGAGAGGUACAGUGACUUUCCCUCGGGGACUCAACCGGGCUGUAGCAGGGUGGGCAGUUAAACCAGGUAACCCCAUGAGCUGUCACUGGAUCUUUCUCAUGAAGCAUGGGGAAUGGAUCAGAUGGUAAGAGGCUAACCCAGUGUGCAUGUGGAGGAGAGGGGAGUGGGGAGGUCAGUGGAGGCUGAGCCCUGAAGGAUGGGAAAGGAGGAAACAUUCCUGGUGGAGGAGCCCUGGGGAGUGGGAACUUGGGACUUGCCGCAGGAAUGAUGUCUCUGCUCAGUGAAGGCAGAAGGCCAGGUGUGGAGGCUUCAAAACCAGGAGGCUGCUGUGAGGAGGACAUCUGUGCCUCCCUGGGGGGAGAGUGGGACUUUCAGAAGCACAUGGUGGAAUGGGGGAAAACCUGCCGGGUCACAACCAGGCCACGCGCCUUCCUCGCUCAGCGAAGUUGGGCAAGUCUCUCUGCUUCUAGCCUCAAGAAGGCUUGGUUUUCUCACCUGUGAAAUGGGGACCAAGGUAGCUCCACCCUUGUGGGGCUGGCUGUGUGGUCUUCAGGGCAGAACAGGGUGAGAGCUGCGCUCCCAGUUGGCCCUUUCCCUUUGUGGAAGGGAGUUUUUGGCAUGAGAAGCCUUGAGCCCAUGGAGAAGGGCCAGACUCCAAGAGUGACAGAUUGAGGGACACCCUCAGGUUGCUGUGGUCCCGCCUACCCCAGCCACCUGGUUCUUGUCCCCCCCCCCCAGUGCCAACUCACCACGUUGUAGGCACUUAAGGGUCUCCCAUAGUCCUCACCAGGUGAAGUGGGUGGCGUCAUUCAGCCCAUUUCACAGAUGAGGAGAGUGAGGUUAGCUGUGACCGGAUGACACGAAGCUGGGAUUGGACGCCAGUCUGUAGGACAACAAGGUCACCACCUGCUAGACAGAAUAGCAUGUAAACAAGACUCCUGGUUCUGGGUGGCUUCUGAGAAGCAGCAUUGGAUGGGGAUGGCUGGGCAUUCAUUCCCACGGGACGGGCAGCCCCCAGAGGAGAGGUCCUCCUCCCCCACUCCCCACCAUGGGUUCUGUGAUCCCCCUGUCUUGCCCACUCCCCUGCCAGCAGGCUGUCGGGAUCCUUAUGCAGUCCCGCAGUGGAGGUAGCUAAGGGCCCUUGUGAUAGGAG